rnacentral:rRNA from 1 species
AGACGCUUCGUCCUUGCCAUUUGGAUUGAGACAAUGUUACAACUUCCUUAUCGAUAAGCCAUUUCGGAGGGCAAGUUCUGGUGCCAGCAGCCGCGGUAAUUUCCAGCUUCCAAUAGCGUAUAUUAACGUUGUUGCAGUUAAAAAGCUCGUAGUUGAAGUGUGGGUGAUCGCUGUUGUGAGACUUCGGUCUCUCGACAGUAAGUCACCCCCUUCCAGUAUCCAGUAGUGGGUAUUCAGUUACUUACUAUUGUGUGUUGGUCAUUUACUGUGAGAAAAUUAGAGUGUUCAAAGCAGGCGUUUGCUUGAAUAGAUUAGCAUGGAAUAAUAAUUGAAGGCUUUCGUGUUCGAUUUGAUUGGUUUGUUCAUGGAAGCAAGGUUAAAAGGAACAGUUGGGGGUAUUCAUAUUCACUAGUUAGAGGUGAAAUUCUCGGAUUUAUGGAAGAUGAACAAGUGCGAAAGCAUUUACCAAGGAUGUUUUCAUUAAUCAAGAACGAAAGCUAGGGGAUCGAAGAGGAUUAGAUACGCUCAAUUCAUCUUAUAAAAAAAAA